rnacentral:rRNA from 1 species
AUUGAACGCUGGCGGCAGGCCUAACACAUGCAAGUCGAGCGGAUGAAGGGAGCUUGCUCCUGGAUUCAGCGGCGGACGGGUGAGUAAUGCCUAGGAAUCUGCCUGGUAGUGGGGGAUAACGUCCGGAAACGGGCGCUAAUACCGCAUACGUCCUGAGGGAGAAAGUGGGGAUCUUCGGACCUCACGCUAUCAGAUGAGCCUAGGUCGGAUUAGCUAGUUGGUGGGGUAAAGGCCUACCAAGGCGACGAUCCGUAACUGGUCUGAGAGGAUGAUCAGUCACACUGGAACUGAGACACGGUCCAGACUCCUACGGGAGGCAGCAGUGGGGAAUAUUGGACAAUGGGCGAAAGCCUGAUCCAGCCAUGCCGCGUGUGUGAAGAAGGUCUUCGGAUUGUAAAGCACUUUAAGUUGGGAGGAAGGGCAGUAAGUUAAUACCUUGCUGUUUUGACGUUACCAACAGAAUAAGCACCGGCUAACUCCGUG